rnacentral:ncRNA from 1 species
UAAAGAUACUGGCAAACUUUUCGAAAGAAAAGGACGCAAAACUAUGGGUCUAAGGGAUAUAUUUUCCUAUGAUUGCCAAGUUACCUAA